rnacentral:lncRNA from 12 species
CAAUGAUCCCUGCCCCUGAAAGACCCAGAGCCAGGCUUGAACUAGCCACCCUGAUNNNNNNNNNNNNNNNNNNNNNNNNNNCACUUUAACGCCCGGGAAGCCUGCUCGGGUUUUCAGAGUUGCCGCAAAUCCAAGAAAAUCCAGUCUCCUCGAGCCACUGUCCUCCUUCCCCCUAGGGCGGACAUUCGCACACGCUCACACUCCCUCCCUUCCCAACCCCGAACACGCGCUGGGCCAUCCCGAGAGGCUCUUUGGGGGCCGGCCAGCGACCCGUCCUGCUCCCACGUGCCUCCAUUAACCCUUCGUCCAAACGUGCACAAGGCGCCAAGUGCAUGUGCACCGUCUGCCUUCAGAGAGAAGUUCGGCAAACCCCACCCCGCCCCACCCCCCGCACACAAUCACACACCCCACUCCGGCCCUGAAAGCGCCAGCGAGCGCGCGGGCUCGGGCACCCGGCGGGCAGACAAUACUCCAGCAACUCCUGCCUUCCCCGCACGCGCCCCGGCGGGUCCCCCGCCACGCCACUCUCGCGUCUCCCCGGCUUCCUGCAGUCCCGAGGGCCCAGAGCGGCGGCCUCCGGAUGGUUGCUAGGUGUAGACGGCGAAGAAGAGAGACCCGCACGCACCACCGAGAUGGGGGGCGGGGGGCGGUCGCCGUCCUUCAAAGCCGCCCCGGGGCUCCGCUCCCGAGAAAGCGGCGGGGGUGGGGGCUGAGACCCGAGGGGGAGAAUCCCCAGGGAGGCAGCUUCUCCGCACCUCUUCCCCACCUCGCACAGCGCGCGCGCACCAGCGUGCACACCGAGGGGCCGCGCACCUUCCCGCUGCCCCCGGACCCACCCGGCCCUCGCCCCCGAGCUCGGUGGCCUGGACGCCAGGGCAUCCGACCCGCGGCGGCUCCGGAGGGGGCAGAGCGCCGCGCUCGGGGGUGCCCACCUGCGCGCAGGGUAGCCGACGCGGCCGGUGCGCCGCCCGCCGCGCCGCGUCCGCCGCAGGAGGAGGUGGAGGCGGCCCGAGCCCCGGACUCCACACGUCUCCUCGCUCCCCAGCCGUGCGGUCCUCGCUUCCUCUCCUCCGCGAGGAGGACCUUGGUGGAGAAAAAGGAGAACAAGUAAGGUAAGUGGGCUUAGAACACAAUAAAGAAGGUGAAACAUCUUACUACA